UGAGCAAUCUGCCCUUCUCUUCGGAAUAAGCGUGGGAAACCGCGUCUAAUGCCGAAUACGACCUCCUUUCGCAUGAUCGGAGGUGGAAAGCUCCGGCGGAGAAGGAUGAGCUCGCGGCCUAUCAGCUAGUUGGUGUGGGUAAUGGCCCACCAAGGCGACGACGGGUAGCCGGCCUGAGAGGGUGACCGGCCACACUGGGACUGAGACACGGCCAGACUCCUACGGGAGGCAGCG
rnacentral:rRNA from 1 species